rnacentral:rRNA from 1 species
UGGGGAAUAUUGGACAAUGGGCGCAAGCCUGAUCCAGCCAUGCCGCGUGGAUGAAGAAGGCCCUAGGGUUGUAAAGCACUUUAAGUUGGGAGGAAGGGCAGUAACCUAAUACGUUGCUGUCUUGACGUUACCGACAGAAUAAGCACCGGCUAACUCUGUGCCAGCAGCCGCGGUAAUACAGAGGGUGCAAGCGUUAAUCGGAAUUACUGGGCGUAAAGGGCGCGUAGGCGGUUUGUCAAGUCAGUUGUGAAAUCUCCGAGCUUAACUCGGAACGGUCAACUGAUACUGUCAAACUAGAGUACAGAAGGGGCAAUCGGAAUUCUUGGUGUAGCGGUGAAAUGCGUAGAUAUCAAGAGGAACACCUGAGGCGAAGGCGGGUUGCUGGGCUGAUACUGACGCUGAAGCGCGAAAGCUAGGGUAGCAAACGGGAUUAGAUACCCCCGUAGUCCCUGAGCGGGCUGGCAAGGCGCAU